rnacentral:rRNA from 1 species
AAUACGUUCCCGGGCUUGUACACACCGCCCGUCACGUCACGAAAGUCGGUAACACCCGAAGCCGGUGGCCUAACCCGUAAGGGGAGGAGCCGUCGAAGGUGGGACCAGCGAUUGGGACG